CCUCCCUCAAGCCAGGGUUGGAAUACCGGCAGCGCUCAGGUACCUGCAAGUUCCCGGACAUAUCUGGGAGGAAUGGACCUAGCCCUCACCCUCCGAACCAACAGGUCCCAGACGUGCUCCAUGGGAUUGAGAUCCGGGCUCUUCUCUGGCAAUGGCAGAACACUGACAUUCGGUCCCCUAAAAUGGGGGAACUAUGUACAGAAAGUGCUGUAAUAUCUAAACAGUUCACCCGAUAUGGAUGAAAAGACUCUCAAAUAAAAGCUGACAGUCUGCACUUUAA